UACGUAGGGUGCGAGCGUUGUCCGGAAUUAUUGGGCGUAAAGAGCUUGUAGGCGGUUUGUCGCGUCUGCUGUGAAAAUCCGGGGCUCAACCCCGGACUUGCAGUGGGUACGGGCAGACUAGAGUGUGGUAGGGGAGACUGGAAUUCCUGGUGUAGCGGUGAAAUGCGCAGAUAUCAGGAGGAACACCGAUGGCGAAGGCAGGUCUCUGGGCCACUACUGACGCUGAGAAGCGAUAGCAUGGGGAGCGAACAGG
rnacentral:rRNA from 1 species